rnacentral:rRNA from 1 species
AUUCCAGCUCCAAUAGCGUAUACUAAAGUUGUUGCAGUUAAAAAGCUCGUAGUUGGAUUUCUAAUCUCUCUUGGGGUUCCUUUUCUAAAGAAAUGCGCGACCAUUCAAGAGAGAUUAUCCUCGUGCCUAGCCUUUCUCACUUUCAUUAGUCAGGAAGGGGACGCACGUCAUUUACUGUGAGCAAAAUAGAGUGUUCAAAGCAGGCUUAGGCCAUGAAUAUAUUAGCAUGGAAUAAUAAGAUAGGACCUUGGUCUAUUUUGUUGGUUUACAUUCCAAGGUAAUGAUUAAUAGGGAUAGUUGGGGGUAUUCGUAUUCAAUUGUCAGAGGUGAAAUUCUUGGAUUUAUGGAAGACGAACUACUGCGAAAGCAUUUACCAAGGAUGUUUUCAUUG